GAAGAAAUCUUUCCCAAUACCCAACCUGAAUCUCCCCCGGCACAAUAUGAGGCCAUCACCUCUUGUCCUAUUCCACCUGAUAAAAGAGGCAAACCCCCACCUCACCACAGCCUCCUGCUGUCAAGGCAGUUGUAGAGUGAUAAGGUCUCCCCUGAGCCUCCUACAGAGGAGAUCAUCUCAGUGAAAUUGGAGACCUCACCAGUGGAUGCACUGCACAGGACCUCCCAAGUGCCAGCAAAGGCUCUCCAAAUCUCACUGCAACUGGGGCUCUCCAGCAACUGUGGAUCUGGAUGAUGGUAAAGUAUCAGGGCAAUUGGUGAUGUAUCUUUCUCAAUAACUAUCACUAUCCUCAUGUAGUAAUGCUUAGGUACCUUGCUCUAUAUUAUUCUUGCUGCAUCAUUUCACUUAUCUCAUUGCUUUAAAUUUAAGUAAACACACUUCCCCAACUUUCUGUGACUUUUGUGCUGAUUCCUUCCACUGGCAACACACACUCUCAGCCUUCUCCUCCUCCAGGCUGAGAAGCCCCAGGUCUUUCAGCCUUUUUUCAUCUUUGUUGCCCUCUGGUGGACUCUCUAGGAGAUUCCUUUUUUAAACUGAGGAACCCAGAAUUGUACACAGCACUCCAGAUGUAACUUCACCAAGGCAGAGUAGAGGGGGAGGAACAAAUCCCACAACCUGCUGGCCACACUCUAAAUGCAUCCAUAUGCCUUUCUGAAUAUCCUAGCAACAUCUUCGUACUCUUAUUGAGUUGCCCGCCCCUUCUUCCAAAGUUGGUAAACUUUUUGUUUCCCCUCUUGAAGUCUCAGCAAAUCCCCCUGUUCAUCCAGCUCAGUCUCCUCCCCCACAGCUGGGCACAAGAGCAGCCUGCUGCUGCACCUUUAAGAUUCCCCUUCUGAGCAAGGUCCAGCCUUCCUGGACCCCUUUGACCUUCAGAACUGACUCUCAAGGAACUCUCCCAACCAAUGUUCUAAACAGAACUCUAUUUACUCCAUGGUUGCUAAGCUCAAGACAGCUUCCAGCCACGACUCUCUCCAGCCCUUCCUGCUUUGUGAACAGCAGUUCUAACUGAGCGUUCCCCUGGUAGGCUCUUAUCAGCUGUGUCAGGCAGUUAUCAUUUUCCACACAGUCCAGGAACCUCCCAGACUUUUCUCUCUGCUGUAUUUUAUCUCCAGGAGAUGUUGGAUGAGAGGAGUAUAAAACAUAAUGCAAGAUCAGAUGCAAAACUCUGCCCAGGACAGAAUGGAGAGAGGGCACAUGGGUAACAUGGGAGCAUCCUUCUCCAGCUGCAAGACAACCUCCUUCACUAGGCUCUCUUCAGAAAGAGAAGCGUAAAGAUCUGCAACAGGAAACCUGCACAUCACUGGGAAGUGACGAAACAACAAAGAGAGCACAUCCUUUGUGUACAUACAGCAUUUCAUACACACUGCCUGGACCCACUGCAAGGUGUUUUGGAAACAGGUAAGAAAACAACUUCAUCAAGUUAUUACUGCUCAAGGCCAGGCUGGAUGUGGCUCUGGGCAGCCUGGUCCGGUGGCUGGCGACCCUGCACAUAGCAGGGGGGGUGAAACUCGAUGAUCAUUGUGGUCCUUUUCAAGCCGGGCCGUUCUGGGACUCUAUG